AGAAAGGCUCCAUCCAGCACUCCAACAGCGAUCUUGGGACCAGCUGGAACAGAAGUGGUCAAGGAUAGCCAGCCACCCGCAGAGCGGCAGAGAUCAGGAUCUGGGUGAAGCCGGUUUCCCAGCUGGGGAAGCGAGAGAAGACUUGUUAAAACAUCAGGUCAAACCAGAACCUUCCUCGGGCCGAGACUGACCGACAGGGUGAUACACCCGAAGACCUAUUCCCCCUUGCUGGACUGAACACCUUUCCCAGUGUGUCUUCCUCCGCAACGUACUGCCGCUUACUGUCAAAAUUGUUUCUCUCUCAGGAUACAAUGUUGCAGACUGCUGUGCUCUGGCGCAUUUUUGUAUCCCCAAGAUGUCCCGCAGGCCUUGAAAUAGAAGUGGUUAAUAAAACAAGGAAAUAUCGAGUGUGAAUGGAAGGGCCUCGUCUGCUUUAAUGUAAAAAUAUUUCCCCAUGUAUUAGACUAAAAUGCACGCUCCACUGAUAAGCAAUAAUGUUUAUCUUGUGUUUUCUACUACUCCCUUAGCAUACUGUGCUCCUGAGAAGAAGAUGUUCACACUGAGGAAACUUGAAUAUCUCAGUGUCUGCCUCAAAAAUCUCAUGGUCUUGUGUGUCUGUGUGUGUGGGGGGGGGAGUGUAAUCAGUAUUGUGUGAUAAAUGUGAUAGUCCAGAAGUUGCACCUCAUUCACAAGUUGAGGUUUGGGAAAGAUUUCCCAGAAGAAGUGAUGGCUAAUGGGAGACCUGAAGGACUGACUGGUUUAUAGCACAUCCUUCUGCUUUGUAAGAUUUUGUUUCCAUGCAGCUGUUUUGUAACUGUGUAGGUACACAUGCAAAUUCUGUCCUGUCUGAUAGAGGUUCAUUUGCAGCAGUUAUAACAUCUGCUAGUUUCCUCAUGAGUUAAAUAAAAUCUUUAACAGGU